AAAGAAAAAAGAAAGGAAAAGAAAAUAGGAAACAACCACAAUAGAGACCGUACCUUUCUUUAGCAGCAACAGCACCGCUUCCCUCAGCCCCCCCCUUCUCUUCUCUCUGAUUCUAUUCAUAUUUCAUUUCUUCAAUCUUUGCAAUUC
rnacentral:ribozyme from 11 species